UAGUGAANUUGCUAUUUUCAUCGG
rnacentral:rRNA from 1 species